CCUAUGGGUUGUAAACUGCUUUUAUACGGGAAGAAACACCCCUACGUGUAGGGAUUUGACGGUACCGUAAGAAUAAGGAUCGGCUAACUCCGUGCCAGCAGCCGCGGUAAUACGGAGGAUCCAAGCGUUAUCCGGAAUCAUUGGGUUUAAAGGGUCCGUAGGCGGGCUUCUAAGUCAGUGGUGAAAUCCGGCAGCUUAACUGUCGAACUGCCAUUGAUACUGGAAGUCUUGAAUUACUAUGAAGUGGUUAGAAUAUGUAGUGUAGCGGUGAAAUGCUUAGAUAUUACAUGGAAUACCAAUUGCGAAGGCAGAUCACUAAUAGUAUAUUGACGCUGAGGGACGAAAGCGUGGGUAGCGAACAGGAUUAGAUACCCUGGUAGUCCACGCCGUAAACGAUGGAUACUAGCUGUUGGGCGUAAGCUCAGUGGCUAAGCGAAAGUGAUAAGUAUCCCACCUGGGGAGUACGUUCGCAAGAAUGAAACUCAAAGGAAUUGACGGGGGCCCGCACAAGCGGUGGAGCAUGUGGUUUAAUUCGAUGAUACGCGAGGAACCUUACCAGGGCUU
rnacentral:rRNA from 1 species